AUCAUUAGCUUUUCUUGGGAUCUCAAAGGACCCUGUGCAGCAGGCCACUAUUUGAAUGUGUGUUGCUCCUUGUGGCAGGUAUACUGUUCCAAUGCCCUGGGAUCUCUGUAGUGGUCGGUACUGUAUUGAUUAUAAAUGGUGAAGUCCUAGUAUCUUGCUAGAGUGAGCUGGCCAGGAUGGUGGAGCUCUACCACCAUUUCACAGGUUAUAGACAGGGGCCACCAGGUUUCAGGAAAGCAGCAAUGACCCCUCAGUAAUAGUUGGAAAGUGUGAUAUGACACUGAGCUUCACUGUGUUGGUGAAGAAGAGCUGCAGUUUGCCUCCACCUCUGAAGAAGCACAAUACACCUUUCUGGGUUACCAAUGGGAUACUUCCCAACAGCUUUGUCAUCACAUACAAUAUUCUCAAACAAGAUCUUAAUGGCAUCUACUUUCUCCAGGAACACAGCCCCUGACCUGUGUGUGUUUGCGUAGAGAAGGCAUGCUAUGUACCCCCUAGGAUAUGUGAGUAUGAAAAACUUUUAAACUAUUGCAUUCUGAUUGUGUCAUUAAACUGCACCUGCAAUCCAAUCCCUAACAGUGAGACCACCUAGAGGAGACUCAUGCAGGUGGAUCCCCUGCUGGUGCUCUCCUGUGUGGGCCUCUGAUGGCUGCUGAAAACAGUAGCUACCAAUGAGUUAUUAAAGAAAUUCAGAGUUUAAAUGAAAACAGGGAGUAAAAUGUACUAUUGUUGUAUCAAAGUUAGUUAAGCCAUCACAGUUAAGUUGUUAUCAGCUUGAAAUAGGCUGUCAUACAUAUGAGAUGUUCCAUGUAAGCCUCAUGGUAACUACAAAGCAAAAAUCUUCAAUAGAAGCACAAAACAAAACUAGAAAAUAUUCAAAGCAUACUACUAUUGAAAACCAUCAAACCACUAAGAAAGACAGAAAGAGAGGAAGAAACAAAUUCUUAAUAAAACAACCAGAAAACAAGUAAGAAAAUGGCAGUAAUAAGUUCUUACCUAUCAAUAAUUAUCUUAUAUGUAAAUAAGUUAAAUUCUCCAAUAAAAAGAAAGAGAGACAGAAUGAAUAAGAAACAGGACCCAGUUAUGUGCUGACUACAAGAGACUCACCUCAAUUUUAAGGACACACAUAGAGUAAAAGUGAAGGGAUGGAAAAAGAUAUUCCAUGUAAAUAGAAACCACAAGAGAGCAAGGGUAGCAACCAAAUAAAACAGACUUUAUGUCAAAAACCAUCAAAAGAAGGGCAUUAUAUAAUGAUAAAUAAACCAAAUCCUGAAGAGAAUAUAGCAAUUGUAAAAAUACCUUCAUUCAACAUUAGCACACAUAAAUAUAUAAAACAAAUAGUAAAAAA
ensembl:lncRNA LINC00616 long intergenic non-protein coding RNA 616